AGGUUGUAUAAAAUAAACUGACAACACAGAAGUUAUUUUGGCCUUGUGUUCCAUAGUGACUCACCAAAUAUACCCUGAAGUGUUUAUUUUAUUUUUUUCUAUUUCACUGUUAAAGCGAGCAGAUGCAUUUCACAUCACAUGGAUCUCGUGGAAACAUGCCAACCAUUUUCUUAGCAACCAAACUCCUGUCUUCUGCACUGUGCAUGAUUAACUACAACAGCCUGUUGACGGCUUAAAAUAAACCUGCCUUUUUCCAUUUAGCAUUUUAUCAAAUGAAUGUAAUUUCAUUUGCUGAUGAAUUUAGUUCAGCUUCAAGGGAAUUUUUCUCUUCUUCAUGGGGAGGCUGAAGAAUCAGAACUGUCAUGCCAAAGAAAGAAAAGCAAGCCUAGGGAGAAAAACAGUCUGAUGUUUACAUGGGCUGCCUGUUCCUGGGAGCAGCAAAGUCCUUCUGUGGGUGACCGCAACCUCCGCAUGGGUCCAUAAUGACAAGGUGACUUCAAAGAUGGCAGAUUAUAGGGGCAGAUCUGCAUGCUGUAUCUGACUGACACUCAACCAGGGAUACCAGAAGGGUUAACUGGCAAUUCUGUGACUCGAGAACAAUUUAAACAGCUAAUCAGAUCCACAAAGCAAGUAUCCAUAACUGAACCAAAAGACUUCCGCACAGCACAUCAGGACACCUGAGGGAGCCAUCCAUCUCUGCGCCUGAAAGUGGCUCAACUAUACAUCAGAGGAGGCUGUGGAGCCAGGGCCGGUGGUAUAGGUGGCAGAGGUGGUGGCAGGCCCAUAUGACCUUCUGGCAGAGGAGGCAGAAGGUAAAGGUGGUAGGUGGUCAUCUGCCUGGCCACAUGUGCUGCAGCUGGCGGGACUCACUCUCUCUGAGGAGAGACCACAGUGACUGUGGGGAGGGAAAGGAAAGGGAAGGAGGCAAAGAGAACUGAAGGAAUGCUGUUUCCUGCUGGAGGCCCCAUGAUUCUGACAAGACAUCAUCCAUGAACCUCUGGGAAACACCUCCCCCUCCAUAACUCAAGGAUCCCCUACUGGCAAUGGGCACAGCCAAAGCAUCAGGUGGUAAGCACACACCUCCCGCCACUCUGUCACCACACUUUUUCUUUCCAGUCUGUCAGCUGUUUUUUUUUUUUAAUUGUAUGUAUUUUUUUCAUGUGCCUUUUAUUUCAAAGUCCCUGAUUUUAUCAGUACUGUUAGAUAUGUAGAUCUUCUCGUCCCUAGGGAUGGCUUAAAGUCUUUAAAUUUUUUUUUAAUGUUUAUUUUUGAGAGAGAGAGAGACAGAGCAUGAGCAGGGGAGGGGCAGAGAAAGAGGGAGACACAGAAUCCGAAGCAGGCUCCAGGCUCUGAGGCGUCAGCACAGAGCCCGAUGGGGGGCUCAAAGUCACGAACUGUGAGAUCAUGACCUCAGGCAAAGUCGGAUGCUCAACCAACUGAGCCACCCAGACACACCAUGGAUGGCUUAAAGUCUUUAAAUAGCUAAAGAACAACUGAGAACUUGAGUACUAACUAGAUAUUUGAAGAUAUUAUAAAGCUGUUCAUUUUUUAGAUGUCUUCUUGGUACUGGAUGAUGGCAUUGUUUUAAAGGUCGUUAUAUUUCAGAAAGAUACAGCUGAAAUAUUUAUGAAUAAAACAAGUGGAUAUCUAAAAUCUGUUUCCAAAAACUAGAGAGGUAGGGGAGAGUACAUAUGAAAAAGUAUUUCUGUAAGGUGACAUUUUUUAAGUUUUAAUUUUUUAGUGAAGUAUAGUUGGCACACAAUGUUACAUUAGUUUCAGGUGUACAACAUAGUGAUUCCACAACUCUCUACCUUAUGUGCUCACCACAACUAGAGUGAACAUCUCACUCUACAAUGCUAUUACAAUACCAUUGACUAUAAUCUCUAUGCUGUACUUUUUAGUACUUUUUAUUCCCGUGACUUAUUUAUUCCACACUGGAAGGCUGUACCUCCAACUAACUCAUUUUGCCCAUCUUAUCACCACUCUCCCCUCUGGCAAUCAUCAGUUUGAUCUCUGUCUUUACAGAUCUAUUUCUGCCCCCCCUUAGUCCCUAUUACCUAUUUAACCCAUCCCCUGCCCACCUCCCCUCCAGCAUCCCUCAAGAUGUUUUAUGGUUUGCCUCUCUCUUUCCACCCCUAUGUUAAUUUGUAAAUUUUGCUUUCUGCUACUUCAUUAUUAGUGUAUAGAAACACAACUGACUUCUGCAUAUUAAUUUUGUAUCCUGCAACUUCACUGAAUUCAUUUAUUCUAACAGUUAUUGGUCGAGUCAUGUUUUCUACAUAUGGUACCAUGUCAUCUGCAAACAGUGACAAGUUUAACUUGUUUCUUGUCAGUUUGAAUGACUUUCAUUUUUUGUCCAAUUGCUGUGCCUAGGUCUUCUAGUACUAUAUUGCAUAAAAGUGGCAAGAACAAGACCAUCUUGUCUUUUUACUGAUCUUAAAGCUCUGUUUCUCUCCACUGAGUAUGAUUUUAGCUGUAAAUUUGUCAUAUAUGGCCUUUAUUAUAUUGAGGUAUGUUCCCUCUACACCCACUUUGAGUUUUUGUUAU